UCCGUGAACAACUGAACAUCACUCAUCAGUCGAAGCCUCGACAGAAGAGAAGUUGCUUUAACCUGCAAAAAUCAAGUUGAGAAGAAAGGAAUCGUAGAACAUCAUGGCAGAAUCGUCAGUAUCACUGUAUAAAGAGGAAGGGUGUCAGCCCAUACCCGCUACGCUAGUGACAGAUGACACACCAGACGUGCGACAAAUUGGCCUCAAUAAUGGAGCAAAGUCUCUUGAAGUUGGAGUCCGUGCAGGCGAUUGGUUUGUUUGCUCACAAACUAAGUAUGGAGGGAAUAAGAAACUAGUCACACAGGGUAUGAAAUACAAUAGCCCCGAAGAUAUGGGUCUUCAACGUUCUGAAGUUGUCAUGAGCUUGCAAAAGGCUUGACUGUGACGAGGAUACACAUUCAAGGUUCCGUGGAUGAAUUUUCCUGUCAAACGAUUUGUGAAAGCAACCUAACUAGGUUAAAGGAGUUAACGUAAACUAAAUCAAAGGUUGCAUGAUUUUGUAGCUGUAAUUUCAAACAGCUUUCCACGGAUUAAAACAUGUUAUUCUCCCAAUCGAGGAGUUAAAAA